GCAUUUUCUUUUUCAGAGUAAGUACAUGUUUUAAGGAUGGAAUAACAUUUUGUCCAAGAAUCAACAGUCCACAGGGAGCCAACUAGUCUAGCAGCCAAGGCUUGUGCUGUUUCCUUGAGGUUUUGGGGAUGGGUUGCUUGCCUGUCCUCUUACAUAAAAGCGUAGCAAAUUGUCAGAAUAAACACAUUUUUAAAUAUACGACACCAUCAGUCAGGGCUUAAGAGAAGCUCAUUGGCUGGAAAAGAGAUCAAGGCAACCGGGAAUUUGGAUGACCUGACUGAGGCGUUUGGACUAAAAGGUUCUUUUUCAUUCACUGGAGCUAGUAAUUUUUUUUUUUCUUUAGGAAAUCAGCCAGGAAAGAAAUAAAAUAUCCUCCUCUUUCCUCCACGCAGUGAAUCUGGAAUCAGAAUCCUAUUGCGUUAUUUUAUAAUUUUAUGUUUUUUGCUAGGGACAGAUUGCUACUGGGUAUGAGUCGUUGCCUCAGAGCAUGCCGAAGAAGGAGCCAGCAUGCAGCUCUGCUGUCUGAGCUUGUCUGCUCUGUUCCUGCGUCAGGGUCCCAGACAGCAGCUUGUGCUUUCUCCUCAGAUCUGGAAUGGCCAUCCAGCAUGUGGUUCUCUUCACCUGGUGCGAUGCCUCUGCAGCGUGAAUCACGGAGCCUGGAUUAUUCAAACAAAUUCUGGGGCAGUCUUCUGACUUUUAAAUGCUUCCUGGAAUGACUUUGUGAAAAACGAGCAGCCAAGCAGAGGAGCAGAGGAAUAAGGAAAAUGAAGAGAGAGAAGAAAUAUCAGCUGCAAAAGGAUUUUCUAGCUCAUGUCACCUGCAGCGGCUCCCUGCCCUGGGUGGAACGUGCCUCCGGGCAGGAACAGAGAGGUUGUGCAACAGAGCACACAGCCACUGCCUUCCAGCUACAACCACACCUAUUUGUGCAACGAGGGCAGAGAAAAGAGAAGAUUUUUUCCGAAGUGGAUCUGGA